ensembl:snRNA U6 U6 spliceosomal RNA
GUGUUCGCUUUAGCAGUACAUAUGUAAAAUUGGAACGAUACAGAGACGAUUAGCAUGGCCUCUGCAUAAGGAUCACACGCAAAUUCGCGAAGCGUUCCAUAUUUUU